rnacentral:ncRNA from 1 species
CAUGUAAAGCAGGCCCACCGAAAACGGUGCUUCUGCUUUACCUUCCCUUAUUCGCCGUGGAGCGGCUCAAUGGGGCGGGGGAU